CAAACAUUUUUACACAAGGUGCAAGAGGAAGGAAUUAAAGUGUUUUAUAUGUGUAAAAGAAAAUCGCAGAAUUUUACCAAAGUUAAAGGCAACAAAGUCAACGUGUUUCAAAAAAGCAAUAACCGAAUAUACAAAAUGGUGCGAA